CAAUAAUUGUUUAAAUGGAAACUUUACCUUACUGGCGCAGUUCGCUAGUCUCUUAUUUACUGAUUCAGCCUUGUCAUUUUACUGGCGUGUUCAUAGGACCACGAAUAACCUUGACUGGUAUGAGUUAUGCAGCCGGUUGCAAGAGAGAUACCAGGAUCAACGUUCGGAUCGAGAGAUCAAAGCAGCCAUGCGUAGGCGUAAACAGGGUAGUAAUGAAAGCUUUGACGAUUUUCUAGAUGCGAUUCUAUCUAUCGCAGACUCUUUACGAGAGCCUAUGCGGGACGGUGACGUCACCAUAGAGGUUCGCGAGAAUUUAAAGUCGGAACUGAAGCUCGACUUGCUUCAUAUCGAAACUCCAGAUUUGGCAACCUUACGCAAGGAGUGUCACAAGAACGAGGAAUUCUUUCGAAAUCUGAAGUCAAAGCCUUUUUCGCGACACGAAGUAGUGAAUAGCAAGAGGUUUGUGAACUCCAUUAGCCAUGACGAAGAAGCUGAUGAUAAUUCCGAAAAAGAAGGGGACUCCCUUGACGAAGUUUAUGCACUCCGAUCUUCCGAAAUUAGUAAAUGCUGGAAUUGCGAAGAACAGGGCCA
rnacentral:lncRNA from 1 species